GUAGGUGGCAAGCGUUGUCCGGAAUUAUUGGGCGUAAAGCGCGCGCAGGCGGUCCUUUAAGUCUGAUGUGAAAGCCCACGGCUCAACCGUGGAGGGUCAUUGGAAACUGGGGGACUUGAGUACAGAAGAGGAAAGCGGAAUUCCAAGUGUAGCGGUGAAAUGCGUAGAGACUUGGAGGAACACCAGUGGCGAAGGCGGCUUUCUGGUCUGUAACUGACGCUGAGGCGCGAAAGCGUGGGGAGCAAACCGGGAUUAGAUACCCUGGUAGUCCACGCCGUAAACGAUGAGUGCUAAGUGUUAGGGGGUUUCCCGCCCCCUUAGUGCUGCAGCUAACGCAUUAAGCACUCCGCCUGGGGAGUACGGCCGCAAGGCUG
rnacentral:rRNA from 1 species